rnacentral:rRNA from 1 species
CGGUUAGUGGCGGACUGGUGAGUAACACGUAAGCAACCUGCCUAUCAGAGGGGAAUAACAGUGAGAAAUCAUUGCUAAUACCGCAUAAGCUAGUAGCAUCGCAUGAUGUAGCUAGAAAAGGAGCAAUCCGCUGAUAGAUGGGCUUGCGUCUGAUUAGCUAGUUGGUGGGGCAACGGCCUACCAAGGCGACGAUCAGUAGCCGGACUGAGAGGUUGAACGGCCACAUUGGGACUGAGAUACGGCCCAGACUCC